GAUGGCCCGGCUCAGGCCCAGGGCGUCUGCAGUCCCCGAACUCAUGUUCUCCACCAGCCGAUGCUUCACCUUUUUCAGCACUGGGCCAGGAAAAGAACUGGUGAGGUGGCGUUCAUGGCAGGGCCCCCAGGACAUGGGCUUACACUUUCUAUAAAGAACAUGAAGAAAGAACAGUUUCAGAGAUGAAAUAAUGGAAGUAUCUGUUUCUUGCUACCCUCCAGAAUCACACUAAGUGGCAAAGACUGCAAUAAUGAGAGAUGUCUGUCUUUGGGAGAUGGAGCAGUGGGAACCCAAGAGUCUGCAGAGAGUUGAUGAGAGAGAUGUCAUCUUUGUUGGAAACUGCCAAAAGAUCCGGAAGUGGACAUCUGCUGGAAAAACAAACCAAACAAAC